GAUGCUUCUGUGAUGAGAACAGCUGAUUUAUACCAGUACAUUCAGCCUGCUCAGGAAAGACCUCUCCAUUUUUAUGAGCUUUAGUCAUUGUAAAUUUCAUAAGCAUAUGCAGCAUCCCAUCAUCCUCCCAUCAUUAAUGAUAGUAUUGAAUGGUCUUGGACUGGGGACAAAGUUGCAUGACAGCAAUGCAGAGCCCUGUGCUUCAGGAGUACAAACAGGGUCAGUGAGGUAAUGGCCUCGAUACUUCUGCUUAAAAGUGAUGGCAAGAGGAACAAUUCAAGAAGGAAAAAAUAAGAGAGUAAGGUCAGGUGUGGGGCAUUUUAUGCAGAAUUCCAAACUGCUUGCACUUUUUUUGUUUUUCCCUCAAAUAUUUGUGACCCUCCACCCAGGUUUUGUUUUAUAGGAAUGGCUGAGAAAUUGCUCUGCUUCCAAGCAAAAUGACUGCUGGAUUAAUUCAGUGUUUCUAGUAUCUACCCUGGGACUGGUCCCUCCCCAAGAAGACCAAAUGACAUGUAUUCAAAGCAAAGAGGUAACAAAUGUUUCAAACACUCGAAUAAGUUUGGGGAAAUGCCUGCAAUUAAGAUAUACCAUCACAGUAUUUUGAUUGGUUCACAAAUGAUUUACAAAGAGGGAGAAAAAAA